rnacentral:lncRNA from 1 species
GUUUUGUCCAUUCUUGCACUUUGAAAUGCCACAUCCAACAUAAGUAGUUUUGCCCCAUAUCACACCAAGGUAGUGGCCACAUUCAUCUCGGACACAUUUGUUUUGCUGGUAGUCAUAGAAUUCCUUCUCGGUGACCCAGUAUUUGGUAGCGGCUGCACCGGUCAUGCCAUCACCAGAGGCCAAGUUCUCGCCGUAAGGCCCCAUUGAGUGCUCCAUUUGGCAGUCCUCGAUUCUUUUGUCGGCAUAAGCUUGAGCGUACUCGGCUAUGGUCUCGUUCCAUUUGAGUGGUCCAUUGCCAACCUCGGCACGAGCUAUGUUGUGUUCCCUGAUGAAGCCAUCAAUCUCUUCUUUGGGUAGGAUUGCGGCGACAUGGGUCAUGAUGAUUGCAAUGGUGAAGAUGCCCAAAAUAAGCUUGACGUUGAACGCCAUUUUGUAUCUCGAUAUGGGGUCGGUUUUGUUGUAUGGUAGAGGACGUUGAAUUGAUAGCUGUUGGUUUGAAAGGAGGAAUGCAGAUAGGGUUAUAUUUAUAGAGACAAAAUAAUAGUAGGGUGUCAAAAAUAGUCCUUAAGAGAUGGGAGGUUGCAUACAUUUCGAUUCUAUAUAUAGAUAUAGCGGUAGAGGACGGGUAAAAAAAGAGAGAAUAGAAUAGACUGACUUACACUAAUUAAGAAUUGACAAACUACUUAAUAUUACAGUCUAGUGAUAUUGAUCUUUAUUUGUAAUUGAGAGAUUUUAGGUUUGAUUCUCGCUAAAGACAAAUCCAAACUAAAUUAAUAUGAUACCCAUCCUCACUCUUGAGUGUAGAUAAUAUCCAAUGUAUUAAUUUUUUUAUGAGAUUAACAAAAAAAAAAAAAGUUAUGAGAUUGGCAAACAAUAGAAAAAAUAGAAUUUGGUUUGGCUCACUAAAUUUUUUUAUCUGGCAUGUUUUUUGGUUUCCUUUUGCCUGUCUGGAGUAUUUCAAGUGGUUUACCUAGUUAAGGAUUUUUCUGAUACCUUCCCUUAUAAAAAUGUUCUGCUAAUGUACUUAUUCUGUUGGAUAAAAACCCACCUAUGUAUAAACAUCCAAUAAAAACCCAAAAUUUAAAUAAAUUGCCACAUAAAAAAAAAGUAACAUAUUAAUAUAAGAUUUUUACAAUUUAUGCCACAACAUUCUAUAAUUGUUUUUGACACACCCCGACCGACAACAAUCUUACUUAAAACCUGGAGGGGCGCAAAACAGAAAACGUGAGUGGGCAAAAACAAACGUUUUACAAAAUCAUUUCAUUUAUCAACAUACUAACCCCUCGCUGUAAAACAUAUAUUAAUUUCCCAGAAUCAAGAUGUAAGCAUAUACAUAUAUAACUGAAAUCAUAUUAAAUCAGUUCAUGCUUCACAUAAUCAUAUUCAUAUGCAUGUCAUGCCAAAGUAUAACAAAGUAAGCUAUCCAGGUAAGUUUAAUUUCAUAGAAAUAUGAUAUGUUAGCCGGAACUCCUGUCGUAGUCUGUACGGCUGAAUUCAUAGCUCAAACUCAAUCUAGCCGGAAUCACUACUAUGACCUAUACGGCAAUAUACUGCACAUAAGUCGGAACCGCUGGAAAGGGUCUGUACGACAAGGUUGGGUGUAAUACAGUUAUGCUCAAUUCUACUUUCUCAAUACUAGUUGUGCGAUAAUACGUUAGUCACCUAUGAGUCGGAACCAUCUAUAGUGGUCUGUACAACAAGACUGUGCACCUAAAUUGGAUCCAAUGUGAGCAUAUGGUGCGGGAGGUGACAUAAUAUAAGAAACAAUGAAAUUUUAUCUUGAUAAUUAAAUAGGCAAAUGAUUUCGGAUUGAAUUAAAUUUUUGCAAGGAUGAUUUAUAAAUCGAGACUUACAAAAUAGAUGGUUCGGAUCGUUAAAAUUCGACGUGGAGUGGACCCCACAUCUAAUCCCUAUUUUUUGAAAAAAAAAUAGAAAUUCAUUUGCAUAAAGGGCAUGAAUUGUUAUUAAUUAAAUAAACUUGUUUAAUAUUAUGCUAUUAAUAUAACAAUACUUAGUUAAUUAUUAAAUUAAAUUUUUUUUUCAUUUAUUAGUUAUCUUGCCCAACGACGCUCUCCGUCGGCCAACGAGAUAAAAUAAUUAUUUUUCUUCUGAUAAGGGGUUACUAACCAUACUAGUAAAGCGAUGUCUAUCGGGCAUCUGCAGUCAACACAAACUUACAUGAUGGAGGUUUGUCGCUUUGUCCACUAGACAAGACCUUGUUGCCCUGACUAAAAAUUUGUAUCCGCCGACAAAAAUGUCUUACGACGGCUCUUGGGCGACGAUUUCUUCCCGAUGGAGUUCCGUUGCCUUAUCUUUUGCUUGACGAACGUUGUCCUUAAGAGACGAAUUUUGUUCGUCUCCUAAGUUUUUUUUUUUUUUUUUUUUUGGGUAGUGGUUGGGUCUCGAUCGUGUUCAGGUGGAUUUAGAUUCAUACGUUCCUAUUAACAUAAUUAAUGUCAAAGCACAACCUUCUUGGAGAAUUAUGCAUGUCAACCAAGAUAUCAAUUUCCUCAAGUUUUUACAACUAUCGUUCACACGUCUUCCGAAAAGUGAAUAUGGUAAAUGGUGCAAUGGCGGCAAUAAAGCAACAUUAUCAUCAUAAUUGUACUUGGUUCUAACAAUUUUCUAGUAAUAACGUUAAAAGAUAGAUGUACUAUGAUUAUAUGUUUGUAAAGGUCCAUAGAGAAUCCUCGCUGUAACUUCAGCUUGUUAAAAAACAUUACCCAAAAAAAAAAUGGUUAAUCAUUUUUUUUUUAUUUUUCUGUCACCUCUCACCAUAUACAGCAACAUGAAUGUAUUCGUAUAUAGCAAUAGAAACCAACAUCUGUCGCCAUCCCCCCCUUAAGACCAAAGGCAUUAUUUAUAUACAAUAGUUUCUAGUAGGGGCGCUCGUCGUCCUGGUAAGAAGGAUCGUAGUUGCAAAUGACAUAGUUUUGUCCAUUCUUGCACUUUGAAAUGCCACAUCCAACAUAAGUAGUUUUGCCCCAUAUCACACCAAGGUAGUGGCCACAUUCAUCUCGGACACAUUUGUUUUGCUGGUAGUCAUAGAAUUCCUUCUCGGUGACCCAGUAUUUGGUAGCGGCUGCACCGGUCAUGCCAUCACCGGAG